CUACGGGUGGCACCAGUAGGGAAUUUUCCACAAUGGGCGAAAGCCUGAUGGAGCAACGCCGCGUGCAGGAUGAAUGCCUUCGGGUUGUAAACUGCUUUUAUGUGCGAAGAAUUUGACGGUAACACAUGAAUAAGGGUCGGCUAACUACGUGCCAGCAGCCGCGGUCAUACGUAGGACCCAAGCGUUAUCCGGAAUUACUGGGCGUAAAGAGUUGCGUAGGUGGACUGUUAAGUGGAGCGUUAAAGCGUGCGGCUCAACCGCAUUGAUGCGUUUCAAACUGGCAGACUAGAGUGCGAGAGAGGUAGAUGGAAUUCCCAGUGUAGGAGUGAAAUCCGUAGAUAUUGGGAGGAACACCGAUGGCGUAGGCAGUCUACUGGCUCGUUACUGACACUAAGGCACGAAAGCGUGGGGAGCAAACGGGAUUAGAUACCCUAGUAGUC
rnacentral:rRNA from 1 species